rnacentral:rRNA from 1 species
UACGAAGGGUGCAAGCGUUAAUCGGAAUUACUGGGCGUAAAGCGUGCGUAGGCGGUUGUUUAAGUCUGCUGUGAAAGCCCCGGGCUCAACCUGGGAAUAGCAGUGGAUACUGGACAGCUAGAGUGUGAUAGAGGAUGGCGGAAUUCCCGGAGUAGCGGUGAAAUGCGUAGAGAUCGGGAGGAACAUCAGUGGCGAAGGCGGCCAUCUGGAUCAACACUGACGCUGAGGCACGAAAGCGUGGGGAGCAAACAGG